GCAGCAGUGGUUCCAUGGUAGAAUUCUUAUCUUCCAUGAAGGAGACCCAGGUUCGAUUCCCGGCCAAUGCA
rnacentral:tRNA from 1 species